CUGGCGUGGCCAUCCAAGGAGAAGAGCUUGAAAAACUAACAAUUCCCUUGUCUGAGAUGUUCCUAUAUAAACUGAAAGCAAUCGAAGCUAACAAGGCAUGGAUGAAGCAUCCUGAAAUUCUUCAGAAAUGCUCCACUGGACUUCAUUUCCCUUCUGAGCGUGUCAGCAAUUGUGAGGAAAACGUGAAGCCUCUAAAGCUGCUGCAUUUCUUUCGGGUUGAUGGGUAGGAGAAAGCUCAAUAUACACCAGACUCGGUGAAUCAAUUCACUUGUAAAUAUCGUUGAAUCCCUUGUACUAGUUUCCUGUA